AUUGAACGCUGGCGGCAUGCCUUACACAUGCAAGUCGAACGGCAGCACGGGUGCUUGCACCUGGUGGCGAGUGGCGAACGGGUGAGUAAUACAUCGGAACGUACCUUAUCGUGGGGGAUAACGCAGCGAAAGCUGUGCUAAUACCGCAUACGCCCUGAGGGGGAAAGCGGGGGAUCGCAAGACCUCGCGCGAUUAGAGCGGCCGAUGCCUGAUUAGCUUGUUGGUGGGGUAAAAGCCCACCAAGGCGACGAUCAGUAGCUGGUCUGAGAGGACGAUCAGCGACACUGGGAAUGAGACACGGCCCAGACUCCUGCGGGAGGCAGCAGUGGGGAAUUUUGGACAAUGGGGGCAACCCUGAUCCAGCAAUGCCGCGUGAGUGAAGAAGGCCUUCGGGUUGUAAAGCUCUUUUGUCAGGGAAGAAACACCGGCUCUAACACAGUCCGGGAAUGACGGUACCUGAAGAAUAAGCACCGGCUAACUACGUGCCAGCCGCCGCAGUAA
rnacentral:rRNA from 1 species